ACCAAGAAUAGCAAUGUAAUUAGACAUUAAAUGAACAAAAUUCUGGUGUGUGUGUUUUUUACUAUUCUCUAUCAAUAAUUCUUUAAUGCACUUGUCAAGGUAAAGCUCUGAUAUUGAUCAAAGAAUAAUAUCACAAACACUUAAAAGACAUGAAUCUACCUUGUUCAAAUCGACUAGGAAGUAAAUCAACCCCAAUGAUUCUCGAUGCACCAGAAACCCUUGCUCCUUCACAGGCCUAGAAUGCAAAGUACAAGGUUAGAAAACUGUAGUCAUUAUAGUAUCUUAAUUUAUUGCAGGAAAAAUCAGUGAAGGGUAUAUCACAUACAGCAAGACCAACAGCUCCUAAACCAAAGACAGCAACAGUAUCAUUAGGCUUUGGUUUUGCAACAUUUACAGUAGCACCAAAACCUGCAUGUACAAAAUUGAUGCAUACAUUAAAAAAAUCUAGAUUGUUCUGUUAGCAGCAUGAUGACUUGAAAGAGUAGAUUUAUGUGGCAAACCUGUGCAAAAUCCACAACUGACAACACAAACUUUGUCAAGUGGAGCAGCAGGGUUGAUCUUGGCAACACAGCCAGCAUGAAGAACAGUGUAUUCACUGAAUGUAGAGGUUCCCAGAAAGUGGUAAAUGGGUUGUCCAUUUUUGGAGAACCUUGUUUUGCCAUCACUCAGCAUAACUCCUCUGUCACUGUUGAUCCUUAGCACUUCACACAGGUUGCUCUCUUCUGACUUGCAGUAUUUGCAUUCCCCACACUCCCCAGUGAAUAUUGGGAGUGCAUGAUCUCCUGGUUUCAGAUGGGUCACUCCCUCGCCCACGCUCUCCACAAUCCUAGUUCAUUCAUUCACAUAACCACCAUUAAAAGUUUUUAAGGUUGAAAAAAUUGUCCAAACAUAAAUUUUAAGUGUUGAUUUUUGGUUCAUUGUUAAACAUUUUAGAUCAAUGAAAUUGGAGGAAUUAUGCAUAGUUUCCCGAGCCAAUUAAGCCAACAAGAUCUGAAUAGAAGUUUGUGAUCCAUGUGUAGUUAAUAAUAGGAAAAUGUUACUUUCACAAUUAAAAAUUAAAAAUUGAAAAAUAUUUUAUUUACAAAUUUACUCAAUAUAAUUUUAAAAUUGUUUUAUUUUGUAAAAAACUUAUUUCUCUUUCUCCUCUAAUGAUAAUAUGAUUUAUGGUUGUGAUGACUCUUAAUAAUAUUCAAACUCGAAAAAUAUCAGAAUCUGCAAAUGUCAGAAAAUUACAAAAUUAGGAUGACGUUUGCAAACAAAUACACCACAACAUAUAAUUUAUAUUUUUACUUACUGAAAUCAUGUUUACUAAUUAUGACUUCUACUUAUGUUUGAAAAGUAUGAAUUUGGUUUAUUUUUUUAUAAUGAAGUUAUAAUCAGAAAUUGAACUUGAUAAAUAGGACUUAAUAAAUAAUAAAAUUGUAUGAAAUAAAAUCGUAUUUACUAAAUAUGAUAUAUGUUGAAUGAAAAAUAAAAAAUUAAAAUAAUGUUAUAGAACAUGAGUUUUCAAGAAAUAGUACUUUUAAAAAAUACGGUUUACUUUUUUUUAUAAUUUUAUCAUUUAAAUAAUUCUUUUGAUAAACUACACCAUAUUGCUAAAUUGUCGUGAUAAAUCUUAACUCCUAUUCUUGUCGAAUAAUCAAAAUUAGCAAAUUUUUAUUAAUGGGAAAACUUUUAUGCAUGUUAAUGUCAUGUGUGAUUUUUAUGUCUCUACAAGAUUAUUUUGGAAUAUUUAAUGGUAUUACUCAGUCAAAUAAUAAGUUUUAAAGUGGAAUUAUUUCCGUAUUUAAUAAAUUAUCACUUGAAAAAUUGUGUUCACCGAAUGGAACAUACCCUGAAGCUUCAUGACCUAAUAUUCGAGGAAACAGCGGAUUCUGACCCUGAAAACCAAAAACGACAAAACAUAAAUACCAGCACACAGAAACAUCCACACUCAAUUCAUAACUUGUAAAGUAUUUAUGAAUAAAAUAUUUUUAAUAAAAUCAAUAAAAAUAUACACAAUUUUUUUUAAAAUUAAAUUCAUCUUAAUAUUUAAAAUUAUAUAUCAAGAUAAUGAAUAGGUUCAUAAAAUUAUUACACUAUCUUAACAUAAAAUUUUAGAUGCGGAAACCAAAUCCUAGAUAAUAAAAAAUAUUUUUGUUUUGUUUUAAAAUUGAAAUGUAAGUUUUAUGAAAUCUUUGUACUAAAGUAAAAAUGAUAAGAAUAUACUAAAAGUAAAAACUCAUAUUAUAUAAACAAGUUUUGAGUGAAGGAAUAUCCUAAUCAUUGAAGCCUAUAAAGUAGCUUUUGAGAGGGUGUGUCCAACAUAACACUCCUAAUAAUGAUGCUUUGCAUGUGUCGAUUUUCCCCGUUUCUAAACCAACCCCACCAUCAAAGAUUGCCUCUCAAAACCAAACCAAUAUCUUACAAAAAUAUAUUAAAAAAACUCUUUUUUAUUAUAGAAGCCAAAUAACCAUUCAAGUCACAGUGAAAAUUAUUUUAAAAAAUUAAAUCGCAUUAAAAAAAUUAUAUUGAGUUAUAUAGUAGUAUUUUGAAAAGAGAAAUCAUACUUGACAACAAGCUCGAAUAUAUAACCUCUAAUUGAUGAUCAUAUCAUACAAAAUUAAAAUUUAAGAAAAAAAAAUUAUUAUAUACUGAAAUAAGAUUUUCAAUGUAUCAUUAAAACAUUUUUCAUUUUAAUGGAAAAGAGAAAUGAUGUUAAGAAAGAGAUACCUUAACAUCCCACCAGUAAACAUCAGUACGGCAAAGGGAGUUGAAGAGGAUUUUCAAACGCACUUCUCCUUUCCCUGGUGGUGCCACUUCUAUGUUCUCUAUCGACAGUGGCUUCUCUGGUUCCCAUGCCACUGCAGCUGCAUUUCACACCAAACACAACAUUUUUUACUAAUUUCUCAUUGUUUUUCCCUUCUUUAUCAAUGUCUGAAACAACCUUUUGAGUCAUGUUUCAACUGAAACUUUGAUCAACUGUAAUAUGUGAGGAGUAAUGUCUGGUGUAUAAUUAUAAGUAAAAUUGGUAUUUCAGGCUUUAAUCUUUUGGUAUGGUUUCUUCAGUUUCAUUAUAUAAUAAAUAUUACUCUAUCUUUUUAUGGUAUCAGUAUUAGGAUUAGGAUGACAGAUAAUCCUUGAUUAACAGAAUAUAAUGCACUUUUUACAAUAUUCUUUAGAAAAAUCACACACACAUAUAUAUAUAUAAUGAUUUUUAAUUAGUUGACAGUAUAUAAACAUUCUAAAAUCAAUAAUAAAUCAAAAGUAAUAUGAAACCGUUAAUUCAAUUAAAAGGGCAAGAUUAAAAAAAAUAAACAAAAGUAAUGAUUAUUUUCCCAUAUUAUUUUGGUUACAAGAAAAAUGAGAAGCCUAACUUUACUCACAGAAGCACAUUUAGGAAAGAGAGAUGGAAAUGGCUCACCUCU
rnacentral:lncRNA from 1 species